rnacentral:rRNA from 1 species
UACGGGGGGGGCAAGCGUUGUUCGGAAUUAUUGGGCGUAAAGGGCUCGUAGGCGGUUUGUCACGUCGGGAGUGAAAACUCGGGGCUUAACCCCGAGCCUGCUUCCGAUACGGGCUGACUAGAGGUAUGCAGGGGAGAACGGAAUUCCUGGUGUAGCGGUGAAAUGCGCAGAUAUCAGGAGGAACACCGGUGGCGAAGGCGGUUCUCUGGGCAUUACCUGACGCUGAGGAGCGAAAGUGUGGGAGGCGAACAGG